AGAACCCUUACAGGAACUCCACCUCAGGCCACGAACUUCAGUCUGGAACCUCUACCUGUCCAGCUGGGGAUGCAAGCCCUGUGCAGGAUCAGAGCUCCAAGGAACAACCCGAACUGAAACUGCAGACAGAAUUCCAAUGCAACUCCCUGCCAGGGAUGUGUAAAUAUUUUCCCAGAGACUACACUAACACCCCCAACAGGUGAAUCUAGCUGUGUGGGAUCCCCCAAGGGUAAAUAGAGGCAGCCCUUCAACAGAAGCCAGGAUGGAUCCCAUUCAUAGUACAGUGCCAACUACAUGCUGAGGCUCCCAGACAACCAACAGUUGCAGUGACCGUUGCACAUCUAGAUGCUGUGCUCUGAGGUUGCCCGCUAUCUUGUUCUAACCUGGCUCUUGAACUACUGUAAGCUGUUUAAUGGUCAAUUAUUUGAACAGUGCUGAUUGACCUGUUGUGAGAAAGAAGUGAUAGGGGUGAUUCUGUAGUUUGUCAUUGUAGCUUUCAAAGGCACAGGAGCAUUGCUAGAACAAAAGAGUCAGCAACCUCAUUCAUCUACCUU